rnacentral:rRNA from 1 species
CGGAGGGAUCAUUAAAGAGUUCUAUAACUCCCAAACCCAUGUGAACAUACCUAACGUUGCCUCGGCAGGUCGCACCUACCUUGUAGCACCCUACCCUGUAGGGCCUACCCGGGAGGUGCGGGUAAGCCUGCCGGCGGCCCACCAAACUCUGUUUGAUAUUGAAUUCUGAACCUAUAACUAAAUAAGUUAAAACUUUCAACAACGGAUCUCUUGGUUCUGGCAUCGAUGAAGAACGCAGCGAAAUGCGAUAAGUAAUGUGAAUUGCAGAAUUCAGUGAAUCAUCGAAUCUUUGAACGCAUAUUGCGCCCAUUAGUAUUCUAGUGGGCAGGACCGUUCGAGCGUCAUUUCAACCCUUAAGCCUUCGUUGCUUAGUGUUGGGAGCCUACGGCAACGUAGCUCCUCAAAGUUAGUGGCGGAGUUGGUUCACACUCUAGACGUAGUAAUUUUUUAUCUCGCCUAUUAGUUGGACUAAUCCCCUGCCGUAAAACCCCCAAUUUAUCAAGGUUGACCUCGAAUCGGUUCAGACAAACUCGCUAAAUUGAAGCAUCUUAGUCAGCGAAGGAAAAGAAACCAACAGGGAUUGCCCUAGUAACGGCGAGUGAAGCGGCAACAGCUCAAAUUUGAAAUCUGGCCCUCGGGUCCGAGUUGUAAUUUGUAGAGGAUGCUUUUGGCGCGGUGCCUUCCGAGUUCCCUGGAACGGGACGCCUUA